UGGGGAAUAUUGGACAAUGGGCGCAAGCCUGAUCCAGCAAUGCCGCGUGUGUGAAGAAGGCCUUCGGGUUGUAAAGCACUUUUAUCAGGAGCGAAAUCGGCGUGGUCAAUACCCGCGUCGUCUGACGGUACCUGAGGAAUAAGCACCGGCUAACUUCGUGCCAGCAGCCGCGGUAAUACGAAGGGUGCAAGCGUUAAUCGGAAUUACUGGGCGUAAAGGGUGCGUAGGCGGUUAGUUAAGUCUGUUGUGAAAUCCCCGGGCUCAACCUGGGAAUGGCAAUGGAUACUGGCUAGCUAGAGUGUGUCAGAGGAUGGUGGAAUUCCCGGUGUAGCGGUGAAAUGCGUAGAGAUCGGGAGGAACAUCAGUGGCGAAGGCGGCCAUCUGGGACAACACUGACGCUGAAGCACGAAAGCGUGGGGAGCAAACA
rnacentral:rRNA from 1 species